rnacentral:rRNA from 1 species
GACGAACGCUGGCGGCGUGCCUAAUACAUGCAAGUCGAGCGGAGUUUUUAAAAGCUUGCUUUUAAAAACUCAGCGGCGGACGGGUGAGUAACACGUGGGCAACCUGCCCUGUAGACUGGGAUAACUUCGGGAAACCGAAGCUAAUACCGGAUAAUCAUAGAAGUUGCAUAGCUUCUAUGUAAAAGUUGGGUUUACCUAACACUACAGGAUGGGCCCGCGUCGCAUUAGCUAGUUGGUAAGGUAACGGCUUACCAAGGCGACGAUGCGUAGCCGACCUGAGAGGGUGAUCGGCCACACUGGGACUGAGACACGGCCCAGACUCCUACGGGAGGCAGCAGUAGGGAAUCUUCCGCAAUGGACGAAAGUCUGACGGAGCAACGCCGCGUGAGCGAUGAAGGCCUUUCGGGUCGUAAAAGCUCUGU